CCUUCAAACCUUGUGCGACGACGACGACAAGAUCGAGAAUGAAUCGGCAACGAGAGGUGGCGCCGGUGAUUCGCCUUGUCGCAUUAGCCGUCAGAGAUGGGAGGAGAGCGGAAUGGAACGGAGGACUGAACGGCGGUGGCGACUGAAGCACUACUUUCAUCUUCUGAUUUUAGAUCUCAUAUGAGGUGGCGGUGAGGCACUACUUUCGCCAUCGAUGAUGGAGCAAAGAGGCGAGAUUGUGGUGGCGCCGAGUAUGGUGGUUGUGUGCGGUGAUGUUAGUAUUGUUGGAUCUUAGGUGGCAGCGGAU